rnacentral:rRNA from 1 species
AGAGUUUGAUCAUGGCUCAGGACGAACGCUUGCGACGUGCCUAAGAAAUGCAAGUCGAACGGGGUAGCAAUACCCAGUGGCGAACGGUCGCGUAACACGUGGGCAACCUGCCCCAAAGUGGGGGAUAACAACCCGAAAGGGUUGCUAAUACCGCAUGUGAACCCUUGUCGCUUGACGGGGAGUUCAAAGCAGCAAUGCGC